rnacentral:lncRNA from 1 species
CCCCCCCCACUACCGCCACCCUCCUCCCUAGGUCUCCCGGGCAACCCCCGCCCCCUCGUCGCUCAGGCAACCACUGGCCACGCCCCUCUGAGUGCGCCCGCUUGUCACCCGGGCAACCGCCCACCUCCUGGCCAUCCCAUAAUACACACGGACACCCCACAGACACACACCCCGCCCCCCCAGACACACUCCAUACACAUAUAUGCCAGGGGGCUGCUGUCAUAAUAUUGCGGAAUUCCACAACUAACCCUCAGACAUCCCAUAAUAACCAUCCUUUGCCAACUUCUUCACUCUUGGCCCUAAUGCUAACAUCCCAUAAUAAUUCAUUACCCUCCCUCCCCAUGGCCAUCCCAUAAUAAGCACGCCUCCCAGCACUUCAGCCUCAUAUCCCAUAAUACUCAUCCCCAUCCCCCACAGACAUCCCAUAAUAACCACCCUUCAUCCACCCCCAGUUUGAUAUCCCAUAAUAGUCAGAAACUCACCCCCCCCCAUACUACAACAACGGACACUCGGCCUCCUCCCACGCACAUCCCGUAAUAAUCAGUCUCCCACUUUCUAUACUGACAUCCCAUAAUAACCCACCCCCGGAGCUGCCCUCGGUCCGCAGGCUUGGGUCUAGAGGCUCAGCCAGCACCCAGCCUCCAUCCGCUCCCAGCCCCACGCCAGGGCUGCGCUCACCGCUCCAUCCUCCCAGGAGGAAGAGCCUCGCAGCCCAGUAUCACUCACAGAUGGACACCUGAAUGUCCUUCCCCUAACACUGGAAUAUCCCAUAAUGGUGUUGCUCCCCCCCCACACUCCCUGACAUCCCAUAAUUGCAAAGAGCCCAUGCACAACCCAGUGUCACAUCCCAUAAUGCUUCAUCUCCACGGCCUCCCCUGUGUCUGUCCACCCGGACAUCCCGUAAUACUCGGCUUCACCCCUCCCCCCUCCCAGAGCUGUCAGUCUCUUCCUGCCCACACUGUCCCGCCCGCACCACAGAUGCACCUCAUUCCCUUCCUGGCCACGGCAGUGCCGGCCUGAAGUGCCAGACGUCCAGGGCCUUGGGUUCCCUCAGCUCAUCAUUUCCAAGCACUCAGAAGCUGAGGAGCAAUCGAGGGUCCCACCCAAUCCCACCGACGUCCAGGCCCAAGAACUAUGGCAGUGGACAGGCUGAAAAGAAACCAGAACUUCCUCGUUGGAAGGGCCCAUCCUGGCUGGAAGUGAACAGGAAGGACCUCAUGCCACCUCUGUGGUGCCUGCUCAUCACUUCCCUAGAGAAAGGGCCUGGCCAGGUGACUCUCCCCUCUUCUGGGACCCAGGGACAAGUGAGACAGGCUCAGAAAAUUGAGUCUGGGAGGGGCAGGAGAGAGCUUGCUUCAGGAAAUGACAGUCCCCUUGCUCACAGUCGGAGUACCAAUGAAUCUGUUGUCUUCCAGCAGCUGCUGCCUGCAUCUUUACUCUUCUCUCCGGACAGGACCUCAGCCAAAAGCUCCCACUGUUACCUUUAAAGUUUUAUUUAUUUAUUUGUUUGUUUGUUUAUUGGUACCAGGGAUCAAACUCGGGACCUUGCACUUCCCAGGCAGGCGGUGGCACCCCUGAGCUAAAUCCUGACCCUGUCACCUUUAAAGUUUGAGUGCCCCCUAUUCACUCCACCUGCUCCACGUCUGGGAUCUCCAUCACCCUCUUUCUGCGUUCACGGUGGGGUGCCCUGGUCCCUUCCCCCAUUCCACUAGGUUUCCAGAGCCUCCCUCCUUCAACUCCUUGAUGUCAAGAUGGAACCCCCUUCACCUAUCCAAACCCUGCUGUGCUCAGUGCUCAUUCUGAUGAAACUGCCAAACCACAAAGUGGGGAAAGGAGGCAGGAGGCAGCUCUUUGAAGAGACCAUAACUGGAGCCAGGUGUGGUAGUAAACUCCUAAUGUCCCAGCAUGUGGGAGGCUGAGGCAGGAAGGUCAAGAGUUUGAGGCCAGCCUGGGCUACAUGGUAAAUUCAGGCCAGCUUGGACUGCAUAGCAAGACCUGUCCAAGAAAAAAAAAAAGCUGGGUGUGGGGGCACACACCUGUAACCCUGGCAGGAGGAUCACAAGUUCAAGCCCAACCAGGGCAACUCAGCAACUUAGUGAGCCUGCUUCAAAGUAAAAGGGGCUGAGGGUGGGGCUCAGUGUGAAGGCCUUGGACUCAAUCAAUUCCCAGUCCAAUACCACAAAAUAAAUAAAAUAAAAAAGACAAAGACACCAUAAUGUGGGUACACAUCCUUUCAGGCAAGUUUCUCCUUCCGAAGCAGAGCUGCCAGCUACCUUCUAGGCCCUCCUGUACCCCAUUUCUCUAGGGACCCAGUGUGUCUCUGGGCCUCAGAGCUCCCCUUGCUUUAACACACACACCACGCGGCCACGGUAAUCCAUAGUACAAGCCCGUAGCCGGGUCUCACGCAGGGACUCUGCCUCCUGCCUGUGACUCAAAACCCGCUCUCCUUCACCCACACGGCCCACGCCGUCCCAUCCCAGUCCCACUUCCCCGCAGGUCGCAGGUCGCAGGUCGCAGGUCGGGCCAGACGCGGAUUCCCCAGCUUAUGUGACUGCCCGCCUCUCCCUGGCUCCCGAGGAGGAGAGUGAAGCCCUUCCUCUUUUCUUGAGCUCCAAAGAGAGCUGGGUUGUGCUGUAUGCUGCUUUUGUGGUCUUCUACUCCUGUGCCUGCUGCCAGAUAAAUUAUAAAUAAGCCCCGGCGUGACCGUGAUCGGCCGGCAGAGACUGAAGGAGCCGAGAGCUUCUAAUUAAUGCACCGGGGCAGCCUCCCCAGCUAGUCGCCUUGGAGCUGCGUUUCCAUCCCGCGGUGGAGGGACCUGGAGUAGCGUUCGAGGGGCUGCCCCAGGGUGUUGUCAGGGGUCCACAGGCCCACCGUGUUCUGCUCGUGGGAAAGGGACCCGGGAAGACCACAGAGGGGGUACCAGGCACAGUGACAGCGCACUGUGGUGGCAGGCAGGACGCAGAGUCCGCCCCUCAGGAGCCAACCCGGACUCUGCCCUCGGGGUGGCACUCCACCCUCUGCUCGGAGCCCCCCAGACAUGAACUGUGGUCCCGAGGCCCACCCAGGAAGGCAACGAUGGGGGGCCUCGGGAAAGUCACCGGGACCACCAGCCCUGUGACGGCCAGCAUCCAGGCCCAGUUCUCUUCCACACAGCACCCCAGGCCCUCCGUGACCCUACUCCUCACAAGCUGUGCCACGGACCCAGGGGUCCGGGCUCAGAUUUGGCUGGGUGAGCCCGCCUCGGCCUCUCCCGCCAGGCUGAGGUCCGACUCCAGCCCCCACCCCCACCCCCAGCUCCUUCCCUCCC